GGUGAACUCAUGUUUUCUAGUUCUAAGAACCAAUGUAAUAUUGACUAAUAUGUACAUAUUUUUUUUCAUUUAUAACAUUUAGGUUUUACAGAUAGGAUACAAUCAGAAAGAAAAAAAAAUGCUGCUAUUAAACAUCAAAGCUAUACCAUUCCUUGGCAUACACCCAAAGGACUGAGCAUCCUAUUCCACAGAUACUUACACACCUAUUUCCACAGAUAUUUACAUAGCUGUUCCUCUAUUUUUUUUUUUUUUUUGGUUUUUUGAGACUCUAUUUUUAAUAACUAGGAAAUGGAAACAAUCUAAAUCUCCUUCAUCCAUCAAAUGGAUAAUGACGAUGUGGAACAUGCACUCUAUAGGAUAUUAUUAAUUUAUAAAUAAAAACAGAAUCAUAAGCUUUUCAGGUAAAUGAAUGGAACUAGAAAAGAUCCAGAAAGACAAGUGUUGUGUAUUCUCUCUCUUAACAGGCUCCUUGCUUUAAGUUUCAGGUGUAUGUCCAUUGUGAAGUAACUGGAAAAACUGGGAAAGUUCAAAGGGAUCAUUGCCAGGUACAGGAGCAAUAGGGAGGGUGCAGGUAAUCUGACCUGGAAAAUAUGAAAUGACAGGUCUUUAAUUAGAGAGUAGAAUGGAAGAUGGAUUCAGAAGGAAAGGGGAGAGUGAAAUGACAAUAGGGUAUUUGAAAAAGUCCUAAGAAAAUACACUAAUAACUAUUUACCUAAAAACAUCUUAUAAUGCAAGUAAGUCUGAAUAUAAAUAUACAUAAAUAGUUUAAAUGAACUUUUUUCAUCUGGGCUGACAGUGCUUCUUCCAAAAGCUAAAGAUCACCAAACAAAAACUCCAAAUUAGACAUAAGAAUUCCUCUUUUGUGUUGUUGAUUAAAGUAAUCCAAGAGACUUUAAAAACUAAUACUCCAUUGCAAUUGCCUGUGAUGGCCCCCAAGAUGAAGAAGGUAAUCCUUUAGUGCAGAAGACACCAUGGCACAGGUCCCAGAGGACCUGAGCUGGAACUGACCUGAAUGCUUCUUCUCUGAGUAUUAGCUUCAGAAGGCACAAGGCAAGCUUCCAAAGAAGGGAAACAAACAAUAGUCCUACCCAGCUAUGAUGCCUAAUAACCGCAACAAUUACCAGCAUGGAACCAUAGUCUUAUGCACUCACUAGUGGUAUGAAUACCUCCUUGGCUUCAACCAAUAGCUCUCUAUUCAAUUGUGCAAUAGACUCAGGAGCCAGAUGCUGAAGUGAAAGCCUAUUAGCUCAGAGAUGCAGAAAGAACCCAGCUAAACUUCCUCCUCACAGACCUCCCUGUGUUCUCCUUGUCCACACUCAUUUCAGAAACCCUUCAAACUCAAUCUCACUUCCUUCUACCACCUGUGUAUCACUCUAUCCAUCCUCUUGACUCCCUCUUACUCUCUAUAGUUUUUCCUAUUUUCACUCCCCAUCAAGUUCUUGCUUGCUCUGCCCCUUGACCUAUGGUUGAAUGUAUUUAAUUUUUUUUAUAAUAAACAGAAAGCUCUUGAAUUAAAGGAGUAUGCUAAGGCUGAGCCACACCACUACUAGAAACAGGUUUUUCCAUUAAAUAAAUUAAAUAAGAAAAUCUCAAGGUUCAUAGCAUGAUCAAAUAUCUUGCAACACUUUAAAUUUAAGGCCCAUUCAACAAGAGGGAAGUCAUGCCUGAGCAUGAAAACCUAUGUAGUUAAAUCACAGACCUGGGAGAACCUACAGUCAUCAGUUUACUAAACCGCAUAAUUUCUAACCACAUUCUAAAUAUUAGUCCUUAUGCUCACAGAUGAGUGUUGUCCACAUGCCCCAUUAAAGAAACUUCUUUUGAAAGAAGUGAAGAAAAUUUCAGGAAAACAGAACUAAUGAAUAUGCAUAGUUGUGCCGUCAGUCCCAAUGAAUACACCUACAAAAGACUCUGGUACUUUAGGCAGAAGGAGCAUUGCAGAAAACUGUAAGAGCUUAAGGAGCAGGGAGAUGGCUGUGAAAUUGUGUCUACUAGUAAUGUCAGAAACUAUACUCAUGAAGUCUCACCAAAAUUACUGCCUAGAAAAUAGAUUAAUAGAAUAGCACCAAUAGACAUUCUACUGUAAACAGGGAAGCCCGGGAAGCCUCCAUCCUAC
rnacentral:lncRNA from 1 species